CGUGUUGGGCACCUGGCUUCAGAACUGGAUAUCCUCUAAAGAAAGGUGAAAGCCAGAAAGUUGGACCACAAACAGCACUGUUUGAAGCCUCCAAAGACCCUGACUAGUUUAAGAAGUGGUAAAAGAAAAUACUGAGGAAAUAAUUUGUGUUAAGGAACAGCUCUUAUGUAUGUGAGCUGCAUUUUCUUCCAGAGGCUAUAAAAAACACAUUCUCUGGAUUGUGUAAUGGAGUCCCACGUGAUGUCACUGCACUGAAAAGAGUAAGCAAUAAAUUAAGACCUGGGCCUGUGCCUCUUUUAUGGCCUGGAUGCCCAGACCAUCUGUCGAAGAAAGACAAAGAGAAAAGAAAACCUCCUCAAAAGAGAAACCAGCCCAACUCUCGAAGAAAAAGAACAGUGAAGGACAGCAGUGAUGUUGAGUCUGCUGAUAAUCCUGAUCCCUUAGCAUUGAACAAUCAGAAGAGAAAAUCACCUAAAGAUGACGAGAAAACUAGCUCACAACCAAUACCAUAAUACAGCAUUCAGCCUUGAAGGCCAAUUGAAGAAACUUCUGGAAGCAAAACACAAUUCAAAUGUACAAUUUUCAAAAUUUGAUCUGUUCCCCUUUAGCAAACUACUUCAUUCUUGCAAUCACAAUUCACUAAACAAUAAUUAUAUUUUGCAUACUUUUUUGUUAUUUGUUUCUUAGUUAGUAGAGUGUAGAGUAGUUAGUAGAGUAGUUAGUAGAGUUAGUAUGCGUUACGUUAGUAAUGCAUCAUAUUUUGGGUUAUUAUAAAGAAGAUUUGAAAAUGACAAAAUGGUAUUCUUAGUCAAGAUCCGUGAGCUCUUUGCCCAACCAUAUGCAAAAAAUCAACAAGAGGUUAUCGCAGACGAAAUUUACAGCAUUGCCAAUGAACAUAUGUCUGUUUAUUAAUCUUAACACCAGAAUUUUAUGCGAUGGUUUGGAGGGUUAUAAUUUGUUGGGAAUCGAUGACUAGGCAUCGCUCCAAAUAAACCAUUUUAUUCGGAAUUUUGCGAAAAAACGAAUAAAAAAAACCA